AUGCCCACACUUCUUGGCUUUGCUGGCCACCUUGUCUAUAUCAUCUGCAUGAUAGUGUUGUCGUCUGUGGUGUUUGAAGCUGCCAAGUAUGUCUUUCCAUCUCUGGACAAGUACCCCGUGUUGAUGUUGCCGUUGGGCAUUGCCCUCUCCUUCGUGCUGAAGCACAGGCUCUGGCCUGCUCUCAUCUCUGAAUUCCCCUUCACCUUCCCUUCGAGUGUUUCCGAAAUGGUUGGCCUUGCUGGCUACCUCUUCUAUAUCGUAUGCAUGAUGUCGUUGUCAUUUGGAGUGCUUGGAGCUGCCUUUCCAUCUUUGGAGAAGUACCCCCUUUUGAUGUUAUCUUUGGGUGUUGCUCUCCCCAUCAUGCUGAAGUACAUGAUAUGGCCUGCUCUCCUAUCCAAAUUCCACUUCACCUUACCUUCUAGUGUGUCCCUAAUGUUAGCCCCACUUCUUGGUCCCGCUAGCUACCUUUUCUAUAUCGUGUGCACGAUGGUGUUGUCGUCUAUGGUGAUAGUAGUUGUCAUGUCCGUCGUUCCAUCGCAGUCUCAGGAGACGUACAUCAUGUUGGGGUUGUCUCUGGGCAUUUCCCUCCCCUUUAUGUUGAAGAACAUGUUGUGGCCUGCUCUAAUAUCUGAAGUCCCCUUCACCUUGCCUUCCAAUGUCUCCGAUAUGAUAGCCAAGGUUCUUGGCUACCUCGUCUAUGUUACAUGCAUGACAGGGUUGUCUUUGCUUCCGCAUGGCAUAGCCUACUCCGUCUGGAGUAAAGCACUGCAGCUGCCUACUGUGAAGGGGGUGCCUUAUUGGAUAUAUGUGACCGCCUGUAGCAUCACAAACGGCAUGGUGAUGGAUAAUUUCAUGAAGCAUUUUAGUGUGUCCGCCGUGAUGGCCAUACUUCUUUUCCUCGCUGUCUAUCUCGUCUAUAUUGUGUGCAUGAUGAUGUUGUCGUCUCUCGUAUUCAGUGCCAUCAUGGUCCCUAUUCUACCUAUUUUGCUGCCGAGGGUGUUGAAGUACAAGAACUGGGCACCCAGGAUCAUCGCCGGGAUCACCUUAGUUGUGAAUGAUAUGCACGGCUUCACGCUGGUUCAGGAGCCUGCUUUUAUCUCUGAAUUUCUCUCCACCAUGCCUUUCGGUGUCUCGAACAUGAAAUCCACGUUUCCUGGCUAUGUCGUCCAUAUGGUGUGCAUGGUGGCCAUGCUGUAUUUGGUGCUCAUAAUAGCCAUUGGGGCCAUCUACAGAUUACGCCUUUGGCGGCCGACCCGACACUUCCACACCGGGUUGACGCUCACCAUCAUCGUCGGCCUCACCCUGGUGUUGUUGUCUGUGAUGUGGCGCUCACCAUUCGAGUUGCCUUCCAACGACGCCGACAUGAAAGCCACAUUUCUUGGCCUCGUUGGCUACCUCAUGUACAUCGGCUGCUCCGUGGAACUAUCUUAUUGGAUGUUUGUAUGCGUCGAUGUACUUGUAGAAUUAGUUAGAACGGUCGGCCUUGUAAAAUUACUUAGAAUGAUUCCAUGGCCAAAUACUUUUUACAAAUUUUCAUUGGGCGAAGUAAGAAAAGCAUAG
rnacentral:rRNA from 1 species